AUUGAACGCUGGCGGCAGGCCUAACACAUGCAAGUCGAGCGAGCGGCGGACGGGAGAGUAAUGCCUGGGAAUUGCCCAGUCGAGGGGGAACACAGUUGGAAACGACUGCUAAUACCGCAUACGCUAGGCUUCCCCAGAGGGGAUUAGCUAGUUGGUGAGGUAAUGGCACACAAAGGCGACGGUCCCUAGCUGGUCUGAGAGGAUGAUCUGCCACAAUGGAACUGAGACACUGUCCAGACUCCGACGGGAGGCAGCAGUGGGGAAGAUUGCACAAGGGGGGAAACCCUGAUGCAGCCAUGCCGGGUGUGUGAAGAAGGCCUUCGGGUUGUAAAGCACUUUCAGCUAGGAGGCGUUACUCGCAGAAGAAGCACCGGCUAACUCCGUGCCAGCAGCCGCGGUAAUUC
rnacentral:rRNA from 1 species